UACGAAGGGUGCAAGCGUUACUCGGAAUUACUGGGCGUAAAGGGUGCGUAGGUGGUUGUUUAAGUCUGCUGUGAAAGCCCCGGGCUCAACCUGGGAAUGGCAGUGGAUACUGGACAGCUGGAGUGCGGUAGAGGGUAGUGGAAUUCCCGGUGUAGCAGUGAAAUGCGUAGAGAUCGGGAGGAACACCUGCGGCGAAGGCGGGUUGCUGGGCCGACACUGACGCUGAGGCGCGAAAGCCAGGGGAGCGAACGGG
rnacentral:rRNA from 1 species